UACGUAGGGGGCAAGCGUUGUCCGGAUUUAUUGGGCGUAAAGAGCGUGUAGGCGGCCAGGUAGGUCCGUUGUGAAAACUCGAGGCUCAACCUCGAGCUGUCGAUGGAAACCAUCUGGCUAGAGUCCGGAAGGGGCGAGUGGAAUUCCUGGUGUAGCGGUGAAAUGCGCAGAUAUCAGGAGGAACACCAAUGGCGAAGGCAGCUCGCUGGGACGUGACUGACGCUGAGACGCGAAAGCGUGGGGAGCAAACAGG
rnacentral:rRNA from 1 species